GUGCCAGCCGCUGCGGUAAUACGGAGGGUGCAAGCGUUAAUCGGAAUUACUGGGCGUAAAGCGCACGCAGGCGGUCUGUCAAGUCGGAUGUGAAAUCCCCGGGCUCAACCUGGGAACUGCAUUCGAAACUGGCAGGCUGGAGUCUUGUAGAGGGGGGUAGAAUUCCAGGUGUAGCGGUGAAAUGCGUAGAGAUCUGGAGGAUACCGGUGGCGAAGGCGGCCCCUGGACAAAGACUGACGCUCAGGUGCGAAAGCGUGGGGAGCAAACAGGAUUAGAUACCCUGGUAGUCCACGCUGUAAACGAUGUCGACUUGGAGGUUGUUCCCUUGAGAGUGGCUUCCGGAGCUAACGCGUUAAGUCGACCGCUGGGAGUACGGCCGCAAGGUU
rnacentral:rRNA from 1 species